UCCUAGUUAACCUAGGCAGUCUCAUUAGAGUCCCCACCUUACGUGUUGGCAACUAAUGAUAAGGGUUGCGCUCGUUGCGGGACUUAACCCAACACCUCACGGCACGAGCUGACGACAGCCAUGCAGCACCUAUACAAUGACCCUUGCGGGAGAUCUCGUUUCUGAGACUGUCCACUGUAUUUCGAGCCUGGGUAAGGUUCUUCGCGUUGCAUCGAAUUAAACCACAUGCUCCACUGCUUGUGCGGGCCCCCGUCAAUUCUUUUGAGUUUCACUCUUGCGAGCGUACUCCUCAGGCGGUAUACUUAACGCGUUAGCUACGACACAGCCGGGGUUGAGCCCAGCUAUACCAAGUAUACAUCGUUUACGGCAAGGACUAC
rnacentral:misc_RNA from 1 species